AAUUAGUUUCGAAAAUAUAAUUAAUAUCCUUAGUUUUGUCAAACGUAAUUUUUGGUCAGAAUGGGCACACGCGAUCAGAAACCUCGAGAUUUCGUCGCGCUAUCUCGAAACCUAUCGGCGGACUUGAGGAGAGCGAGAUUGACGCAAAUGAAAUGGUUUCAGAAGUACGAACCGCUGUUGCGGGAAUACGAAAAACUUCAGCAGGAAGUGCGAGAACUGUACAAAGAGAAAAGAGUCAAAAUUGAGGAUGACAUCGAACGGGAUACGAGGACAUGUUUGCCGAGACCGAUCACAAACAGCGGCGAGUACGGAUGGUUAGCUGCAAAAUCAGAAUUUUGCUUGGAGAGAUACGGCCCGUGCGUUGCGAAGUAUCCCAAUCCUCUGAAAGACAUAAUUCUCCUCCGAGGAGAUAUACCGAGUCUCGCAUCGGGCAAGGGUUUCCUUUGAAACGCUUCUCCGACUCUUCAAUUUUUUUUAUUACAGAGUUGCUUUUUUAUAAAAUACAGGUGACGUUAGAUAACUUCAGACAAAACGAAUUGCGAAAAUGUGCGCAAAUUAUAAUAUUUACCGUCGCAUUUGGAACCGUCC